UCAAUGUGAUUAUAAAUACUGGACUUUUAAAAUCAAAGACUCGGUUUUAAACACCCCUCUUUUUUCCAUAUAAUAGACCCGUCUGUAAAAGAGCGCUAAAUGUUUCUACGCACAGACUUGUUAAUGGACAGUGAUAGACGUUUUUUUUUGUUUUACCGAUGACCAUUGGCUUUCUUUCAGCAUUGUUUUUACUGUGACACAAAGUAAAUGCCAGGAUAAUGUAAAUACAAUCAAUUUGUAUGCCGGCUGGCUGUUGCCAGACUCAAAGAAUAUUAACCGUGCGCGCUGCAAAAAAUGCAUGAAAGAUUUUGAUAUCGGAAAUAUGGGAGAGUCGGCACUCAAGAGCCACAUGAAGUCUGCGAAACGUCAAGUUCUAAUGAUCAACGAUGGAAAAUGUUCGAUAUUGGAAUAUUUUUCAACGACUUCCAAAGACACAACAAGUAGCAGCAACUCACCUGGGCCUGAGGCUGAAAUGCUAUAGGACAAUUUGAGAAAUCGCCCAGCAAAAUAGGAAAUGUCUGAGUUCACUUAUUGUAAAGCACCUUUCAUAGUGGACCACCAUCACAAAGCACUUUACAGAGGAUGGAGCACAAGGAGGUUAAAUGACUUGCUCAAGGUCACAGAGUGAGUCAUUCAGAGAUGGGAUUUGAACCAGUGACCUUCUGGUUCAAAGCCUGGUCUUUAACCACUGGACCACACUGCCUCCAGCAACACUAAGUAUACCUAUCUGAGAUCCUCAUAGGUGUCCUAUGUUCAGCCCAAGUAUGAUUAUAAAGCUUGACACAAACUGCAUAUUAGAAGAGAUCUUCUGGAAAAAUGAAAUAUGUUGAUAUCCUGCCAUGGUCAUUGGAAAUCUAAUACUUUCACCUGGACCCGAUUUGAACAAUGGUAAAUCAAAAGAAAACUGCUUUGUAAUUAUUAUUAUUUGUUUAUUUAGCCAAGGCGACUUACAGAGACUAGGGUGUGUGAACUAUGCAUCAGCUGCAGAGUCACUUACAAUUACGUCUCACCCGAAAUACGGAGCACAAGGAGGUUAAGUUACUUGCUCAGUGUCACACAAUGAGUCAAUGGCUGAGGUGGGAUUUGAACCGAGGACCUCCUGGUUACACUCCCUUUUCUUUAACCACUGGACCAU